GUGAGGGGGUGACUAGUGACAGAGUGAGGGAAGGGGUGACUAGUGGCAGAGUGAGGGAAGGGGUGACUGUCACUAGUCACCACCUCCCUCACUCUGUCACUAGUCACCACCUCCCUCUGUCACUACUCCCUCCCUCCUUCUGUCACUACUCCCUCCCUUCUUCUGUCACUAGUCACCCCCUCCCUCACUCUGUCACCAGUCAUCCCCUCCCUCACUCUGUCACCAGUCAUCCCCUUCCCUCAC